CAGUAACGGCGAGUGAAGCGGUAACAGCUCAAAUUUGAAAUCUGGCCUCACGGUCCGAGUUGUAAUUUGUAGAGGAUGCUUCGAGCAUGGUCUGGCCUAAGUUCCUUGGAACAGGACGUCAUAGAGGGUGAGAAUCCCGUAUGCGGCCAGGUGCCUACGCUCAUGUGAAGCUCCUUCGACGAGUCGAGUUGUUUGGGAAUGCAGCUCAAAAUGGGUGGUAAAUUUCAUCUAAAGCUAAAUAUUGGCCAGAGACCGAUAGCGCACAAGUAGAGUGAUCGAAAGAUGAAAAGCACUUUGGAAAGAGAGUUAAACAGUACGUGAAAUUGUUGAAAGGGAAGCGCUUGCAACCAGACUUGCGCGCGGCUGAUCAUCCGGUGUUCUCACCGGUGCACUCGGCCGUGCUCAGGCCAGCAUCGGUUUUGGCGGCUGGAUAAAGGCCCUAGGAAUGUGGCUCCUCUCGGGGAGUGUUAUAGCCUAGGGUGCAAUGCAGCCUGCUGGGACCGAGGACCGCGCUUCGGCUAGGAUGCUGGCGUAAUGGUUGUAAGCGGCCCGUCUUGAAACACGGACCAAGGAGUCUAACAUCUAUGCGAGUGUUUGGGUGUCAAACCCAUACGCGUAAUGAAAGUGAACGGAGGUGAGAACCCUUAAGGGUGCAUCAUCGACCGAUCCUGAUGUCUUCGGAAGGAUUUGAGUAAGAGCAUAGCU
rnacentral:rRNA from 1 species